rnacentral:lncRNA from 1 species
GACGGAGUCUCACUCUGUCACCAGGCUGGAGUGCAGUGGCGAAAUCUCGGCUCGCUGCAACCUCCAAAAAGAAAAAGAAAAAUGUUAUAUAGAAUUCAUAAACACGUUCUAAAAGCCAGUGCAUUUGUUUAGCAUAUGUGUCAAAUGCAAACAGAAGCAAUAGUGAUAUUCCUUUCUCAUUCUAUAACCAUUGGGGAAACAAUAUACCAACAUUCUUAGGCAUUAAAGAGAUCCCUCUUAUCUUGUUGAUUAAUUCUAAUUCUCUCAUUCUAAAUCUGAGUGCUACUCCCAGAUAGGACAUAAUACUUACUGGGAUGGGCACUGCUUGGAGUGGCAGAG